CUGACCAUAACCUCGGGGGCCCUGCGGCUCCCGGACGCUGAGCGCUGUCCGCCGUCCCGUCUCGCGGACGGUGGUCGCUCGAAUGGCAGCCCGCCGACUUCCGGUCCUCGCGACCGGCGGCCAAACUUUGCAAAUGGCCAAAGCGAAGGCCGUUUCAUUGAUCGGGCAGGGAACAUCGUUGCACGCAUACGCACCCA
rnacentral:misc_RNA from 1 species